GAAAGGGACACGCGCCAAUCCACAUUAAAAGAAAGAAAGAAAGAAGAAGAAAACAGUUUGUGUGGUUUGUAAAAUCCACAAGAGCAGCAAUUAAUAUUCCCAUUGAAUGACUUUAUUUUUUGUCUCUCCCUUUUGUUUCCAGCGCCUGCCCCUGGCUCAGCGCCCGGUGCCAACAGAACACCUUUCAGGAUCCACAGCAACGCAGACAACAGUCCAGGAUCCCGGCCUCUGCUUGGAACAGAAUAGUGUCAUGGCGGAGACGACGGCCUUUGUCUUGCUGGGUGUAAAAGCAUCCGCUGUGCUGGCUCCACUGCGGCAGAAUCAAGUUUAAAGGAAAAAAAGAAGCCCUAUAGGAGUUCUUCUAGAAGGGGAAAAAAAUCCUUCGCCCAAACCAUUUUUCUCAACCAUAAUGUUUUUUUUCCGAACCAUUAUGUUUUUCCCCCUCCAAAAUAAGAAAAUAACUGGCUAAGUGAUACCUGUUUGUUU